rnacentral:rRNA from 1 species
UACGGAGGGUGCAAACGUUGCUCGGAAUCAUUGGGCGUAAAGCGCACGUAGGUGGCCUGUUAAGUCGGGUGUGAAAUCCCUGGGCUCAACCCAGGAAGUGCACUCGAAACUGGCGGGCUUGAGUACUGAAGAGGGUCGCGGAAUUCCCGGUGUAGAGGUGAAAUUCGUAGAUAUCGGGAGGAACACCAGUGGCGAAGGCGGCUUUCUGGACGAUAACUGACGCUGAGACGCGAAAGCGUGGGGAGCAAACAGG